rnacentral:rRNA from 1 species
GACGAACGCUGGCGGCGUGCUUAACACAUGCAAGUCGAACGGACAGACCCUGCUUUUGUGGGGUGCUCGAGUGGCGAACGGGUGAGUAACACGUGAGUAUACUGCCCUUGACUGUGGGAUAAAAUCACGAGACAGCGGCUCAUACAGGGUAGGAGCUCCUGCUGCACGGUGGGGGUUGGAAAGAUUCGGCGGUGGGGGAUGGACUAGAGGCUUAUCAGCUUGAUGGUGUGGUAGUGGCUGACAAAGGGUAUGACGGGUAGCCUGCCUGAGAGGGGGACCGGGCACAAGGGGCCUAAGAGAGGGCCCAGACUGCUACGUGAGGCAGAAGUGGGGAACAUGGCACAACGGGCGGGAGCCUGAGGCAGCAAUGCCGGGUGCGGGAUGACCGCCUUUGGGGUGUGAACAGCUUUCGCCUGUGACGAAGCGUGAUUGACGGUAACGGGUAAAGAAGCACCGGCUAACUACGUG